rnacentral:lncRNA from 1 species
AGAAAGGAUAUUCCAUGCAAGAGGAUCUGCCAUGCACUGCCCAAUUAAUGAAACAAGAAAGGUAGGCAGCAGAUGCUGAGAAAGGGCUAAGUAAAUGAACCGAACACAGAAGAAAUGUAUGCAAGCGUAAGUGUGAAAUUGUGACAUUUACCAGCUGUUGCGAAUAUGCAUGAAAUGUGUGUUAAAGACUGCAAUGUAUCUCCUCCGAAUGUACACUUUGAGAAGAAAAGUGCAUGUUUGUAUCUUGUAUCACACGCCAUAGUCAUUUCCAUGACAUUAUCACUUGUCAUCCUGCGCAGCUUAUGUGGAGAGGGCUUAGAGGAUUCUCAUUACUAUGAGCUUAGGUGCAAACACCAUGCACAAAGCAGUAAUUGUGCAAAGUGCUUCUGGCUUGCAUAAAAAAAUGUUUCAUGUUGAAACAUUUCCAUAGCAUUUCACAGUGCAGAAAUAAUAAUUACUACAUCUGAAACUUAUAACAGAGUGGCAAAGCUUGAAAACUACUGACAAAGUCUGUGAUGCACAGUAACAAUGCAAACGAACCCACACAUUUAACCACACUCUGAAAUCGGUACCCUCUGAUAUACUGUUUACCAAUUGAAAUAACAUUGCUUAUCACAAAACACACAGUUCAACAUAUCUUGUAGUCAUGUUGGGCCAGCACAUGGAGCUAUCAUGCCACAGUGCAAGAUCCUCGAAAAUAUGAGUUGCCUUGCAGGCAGGAAAAGUGGAGAACUACCAGUUUCGUCAAGCCAGAGCAGUGGUCACUACAAAAAUGG